CAAUAGCGUAUAUUUAAGUUGCUGCAGUUAAAAAGCUCGUAGUUGGAUUUCGGGUGGGAAUGGCCGGUCCGCCGUUUCGGUGUGCACUUGCUACGCCCACCUUGCUGCCGGGGACGUGCUCUUGAGUUCACGCUCGGGACACGGAGUCGGCGAGGUUACUUUGAGUAAAUUAGAGUGCUCAAAGCAGGCCUACGCUCUGAAUACAUUAGCAUGGAAUAACACGAUAGGACUCUGGCCUAUCUUGUUGGUCUGUAGGGCCGGAGUAAUGAUUAAGAGGGACAGUCGGGGGCAUUCGUAUUUCAUUGUCAGAGGUGAAAUUCUUGGAUUUAUGAAAGACGAACUACUGCGAAAGCAUUUGCCAAGGAUGUUUUCAUUAA
rnacentral:rRNA from 1 species